CUAACCACUGGACCACCAGGGAAUUUUCAGUUUUCAUAUUUUUAAGAGGUCAAAAGUGUAUAUAAUUUUUCAUGACACAUGAAAGUUGAAUGAAAUUCAAGUCUCAGCAAACAUAAAUAAGAGUUUAACUAGAAUACAGCCACGUUCAUUCAUUUACAUCAUCUAUGGCUGCUUUCAUGCUACAAAUGACAGAGCUGUGAUACAGUGUAUGGCCUGCAAAGUCUAUACUAUCUGGCCCUUUACUGAAAAAGCUCGCAACCCCUGCCUUAGAGGAAUGACUGAAUUCACAUCUGGAGUACGAAACAUACCUGACCCUGUACCAUCUCUUCAUUCCAGAAAAGUAAGGCAGCUAUCACAGACGACUGUGCUUGUGUAAAAAUGACUCAGGAGCCUAUUUAAAAAGACUCCCACUCGCCAAGCGUGGGACAAUUGUAGCAUCAGAGAUAACUGCAAUGAACUAAAACACGUCAAAUAUGUUUAGGGAAUUCCCUGGCAGUCCAGUGGUUAGGACUUUCUACUUCCACUGCAGGGGGUACAGGUUUGAUCCCUGGUCAGGGAACUAAGAUCCCACAUGCCACAGUCAAAAACUUAAACAAAUUCAUGGGUUCAUGAUGAUGCAGAAAACCUCACUGGUUACCUUUGGAGGAUGUUAAGAAACCAUCUCAUUAUUUCAAAUAAUAAACUAAGGAAAAUAAACAUUUAACCUGCCUUUCCUAUUUGAACUAUACUUCAUAAUAAGCACGUAGUUGAUGAGGAAAAGCUUCUCUUUACAGCAGGAUUCCAGCUUGUGAAUGAAAAAGGAAUAACAAAAAACCACCUAAUUAAAAAAUGGAUCUAAGGCAAUGGCAAUACAAAAGAGAAGGACGAUGAAACUCUGCUUCCCAAUCAACAGGUAAAUACCAUCUCUGAUGGAGUCUUGCCCCCUCUCCCUCAAACUGACCCUGAAUCUGAUCAAGCCUGUAGAUCAAAUAAUCAAUUUAAUGCAAACAGAGGGGAAAGAGUAAUGUGUAAAAGACACCACAAGAUGUAAUCAGUAAAAUCCAGAGGGUGGGUAACUCUAGAAGACCCAGUUUCUCUGACAAGAAAUUUCCAAGAAGAAAAAAACAAAUGUAUUUUAAAAGACUUAAAUGAUUCAACCGAAUGCAACAUAUGAACAUAAUUUGGACCCACAUUCGAGCAAACCAUAAAUAAAACAUUUAUGAGACAAUUAGGAAAAUGGGAAAACAAAUUAGAUAUUUUUGACAGUAAGGAAUUACUGUCCACUUUUCAAGGAGUAAUGAUAGUAUUAAUGUUUUAAAAUAUCUUUAUCUUUUAGAGAUACAUGCUGAAGUGUAUAAAGAUGAAUUCUCUGACACUUGCUUCAGAGAGAGUUCAAUUGGGGGUGCUGGGUGUAUAGACACAGGAGACUGACAUAAGUGGGUUAACCAACUGCUGAAACUGGGUGACUACUAGGUUCAAUGCAUUACUCUAUAGUGUACAUCCAGGUUCCCUGAUUGAAAAAAAGAAAGGAACCUUUCUUUCCUUUGUGAUUUCUUCAUGUGGCAGCCUGGUAAACCAGACUGAAAGAUCAGUCCAACCCCACCGCACACCCUGGCAAUUAAGCUCUACUUGGGGACUUCUGCAAGUGUGUGAAAACAUAAAGCAGCUCCUUGUACUCCAAGGGAACAAUCCGCGGUAACGGAUGGCUUCUGUCUGGGUCCCUGCUACAUUCCCAGAUGCCACGCAGGGCCUGGCAUAGGACAGUUGCAGGAGGAAAGAGUGGCUGAAACUCUCUCACAGCUGCCACGACACUUGUUUUACCCGAAAUGGCGCAAUCUAACUCAGAGUCAAGCAAAAAGCAGCUGGGCACGCCAUGUGGGAACGGACCCCAGAGUGACAAGGCACCUACCAAGUCCAUCAUUCUGAAUUAUCUACACUGUCCACAGUUCCAUGGUCCCCUUUUAAUGGAUAUGCUAUUAAACACAAGUUCCUGUCUUCAUCUUCUUCGAAGCUCACGGAUACCACACCUAG